rnacentral:rRNA from 1 species
AUCGAACGCUGGCGGCAGGCCUAACACAUGCAAGUCGAGCGAGCGGCGGACGGGUGAGUAAUGUCUGGGAAACUGCCUGAUGGAGGGGGAUAACUACUGGAAACGGAAGCUAAUACCGUAUACCAUCAGAUGUGCCCAGAUGGGAUUGGAUGGUAGGUGGGGUAACGGCCCACCUAGGCGACGAUCACUAGCUGGUCUGAGAGGAUGACCAGCCACACGGGACCGGGGACACGGUCCAGCCGCCUACGGUAGGCAGCAGUGGGGAAUAUUGCGCAAUGGGGGCGAACCUGCUGCAGCCAUGCCGCGUGUGUGAAGAAGGCCUUCGGGUUGUAAAGCACUUUCAGCGGGGAGGCGUUACCCGCAGAAGAAGCACCGGCUAACUCCGUGCCAGCAGCCGCGGUAAUAC